rnacentral:rRNA from 1 species
AACGAACGCUGGCGGCAUGCCUAACACAUGCAAGUCGAACGAGACCUUCGGGUCUAGUGGCGCACGGGUGCGUAACACGUGGGAAUUUGCCUCGGGGUAUGGAAUAACUCAGGGAAACUUGAGCUAAUACCAUAUAAUGUCUUCGGACCAAAGAUUUAUCGCCCUGAGAUAAGCCCGCGUAGGAUUAGCUAGUUGGUGGGGUAAAGGCUCACCAAGGCGACGAUCCUUAGCUGGUCUGAGAGGAUGAUCAGCCACACUGGGACUGAGACACGGCCCAGACUCCUACGGGAGGCAGCAGUGGGAAUAUUGGACAAUGGGCGAAGACCUCGAUCCAGCAAUGCCGCGUGAGU